rnacentral:rRNA from 1 species
CCUACGGGGCGCUGCAGUGGGGAAUAUUGGACAAUGGGCGAAAGCCAGAUCCAGCCAUGCCGCGUGUGUGAAGAAGGCCUUCGGGUUGUAAAGCACUUUCAGUGGGGAAGAAAGCCUUGGGGCUAAUACCCUCGAGGAAGGACAUCACCCACAGAAGAAGCACCGGCUAACUCCGUGCCAGCAGCCGCGGUAAUACGGAGGGUGCGAGCGUUAAUCGGAAUUACUGGGCGUAAAGCGCGCGUAGGCGGUCUGAUAAGCCGGUUGUGAAAGCCCCGGGCUCAACCUGGGAACGGCAUCCGGAACUGUCAGGCUAGAGUGCAGGAGAGGAAGGUAGAAUUCCCGGUGUAGCGGUGAAAUGCGUAGAGAUCGGGAGGAAUACCAGUGGCGAAGGCGGCCUUCUGGACUGACACUGACGCUGAGGUGCGAAAGCGUGGGUAGCAAACAGGAUUAGAUACCCUGUAGUC